GACGAACGCUGGCGGCGUGCUUAACACAUGCAAGACGAACGGAAGGGCCCUGCUUUUGUGGGGUGCUCGAGUGGCGAACGGGUGAGUAACACGUGAGUAACCUGCCCUUGACUUUGGAAUAACUUCAGGAAACUGGGGCUAAUACCGGAUAGGAGCUCCUGCUGCAUGGUGGGGGUUGGAAAGUUUCGGCGGUUGGGGAUGGACUCGCGGCUUAUCAGCUUGUUGGUGGGGUAGUGGCUUACCAAGGCUUUGACGGGUAGCCGGCCUGAGAGGGUGACCGGCCACAUUGGGACUGAGAUACGGCCCAGACUCCUACGGGAGGCAGCAGUGGGGAAUAUUGCACAAUGGGCGGAAGCCUGAUGCAGCAACGCCGCGUGCGGGAUGACGGCCUUCGGGUUGUAAACCGCUUUCGCCUGUGACGAAGCGUGAGUGACGGUAAUGGGUAAAGAAGCACCGGCUAACUACGUG
rnacentral:rRNA from 1 species